UUGGAGGGCAAGUCUGGUGCCAGCAGCCGCGGUAAUUCCAGCUCCAAUAGCGUAUAUUAAAGUUGUUGCAGUUAAAAAGCUCGUAGUUGAAUUUCGGGAUCAGACUGUCGGUCGUGCCUCGGUACGCACUGGCAUUAUUGGUUCCUACCUUCUGAAGAACCGCGAUGUCAUUAAUUUGGUGUCGCGGGGAAUCAGGACUGUUACUUUGAAAAAAUUAGAGUGUUUAAAGCAGGCCUACGCUUGAAUACAUUAGCAUGGAAUAAUGAAAUAGGACGUUUGAUUCUAUUUUGUUGGUUUCUAGGAUCGACGUAAUGAUUAAUAGGGAUAGUUGGGGGCAUUAGUAUUCAAUUGUCAGAGGUGAAAUUCUUGGAUUUAUUGAAGACUAACUACUGCGAAAGCAUUUGCCAAGGAUGUUUUCAUUAAUCAAGAACGAAAGUUAGGGGAUCGAAGACGAUCAGAUACCGUCGUAGUCUUAACCAUAAACUAUGCCGACUAGGGAUCGGAUGAUGUUAAUUUUAUAAUGACUCAUUCGGCGCCUUACGGGAAACCAAAGUGUUUGGGUUC
rnacentral:rRNA from 1 species